rnacentral:rRNA from 1 species
AUUGAACGCUUGCGGCAGGCCUAACACAUGCAAGUCGAGCGAGCGGCGGACGGGUGAGUAAUGUAUGGGGACUGCCCGAUAGAGGGGGAUAACUACUGGAAACGGUGGCUAAUACCGCAUACUAUCGGAUAACCCAUAUGUGAUUAGCUAGUAGGUGGGGUAAAGGCUCACCUAGGCGACGAUCUCUAGCUGGUCUGAGAGGAUGAUCAUCAACACUGUGACUGAGACACGGCCCAGAUUCCUACGGAGGCAGCAGGUGGGAAUAUUGCACAAUGGGGGCAAGCCUGAUGCAGCCAUGCCGCGUGUAUGAAGAAGGCCUUCGGGUUGUAAAGUACUUUAAGCGGAGAUGCGUUACCCACAGAAGAAGCACCGGCUAACUCCGUGCCAGCAGCCGCGGUAAUAC